rnacentral:rRNA from 1 species
AUUGAACGCUGGCGGCAUGCCUUACACAUGCAAGUCGAACGGUAACAGGUUAAGCUGCCGAGUGGCGAACGGGUGAGUAAUGUAUCGGAACGUGCCCAGUCGUGGGGGAUAACUGCUCGAAAGAGCAGCUAAUACCGCAUACGACCUGAGGGUGAAAGCGGGGGAUCGCAAGACCUCGCGCGAUUGGAGCGGCCGAUAUCAGAUUAGGUAGUUGGUGAGGUAAAGGCUCACCAAGCCGACGAUCUGUAGCUGGUCUGAGAGGACGACCAGCCACACUGGGACUGAGACACGGCCCAGACUCCUACGGGAGGCAGCAGUGGGGAAUUUUGGACAAUGGGCGCAAGCCUGAUCCAGCCAUGCCGCGUGCGGGAAGAAGGCCUUCGGGUUUUAAACCGCUUUUGUCAGGGAAGAAAAGGUUCUGGCUAAUACCUGGGACUCAUGACGGUACCUGAAGAAUAAGCACCGGCUAACUACGUG